rnacentral:lncRNA from 1 species
AUGCUGGGAAGCUGUGCCCAGAGCACCCAUUCUGGCUAGGAAAGUGGCAGAGACAUUCAGCGCCCAGAGGCAGCCACGGCAGAGUUGCUGUGGAGACACCCAGUGUGCAGUAGUGUUGGUGAGCCCUGUGGUCUCUGUCGGUGGGGGGCUGGCGGGGACCCCACGGAAGCGAUGUGCAGGGUGGUGUGACUUGUCUGCUCCUGCUGGCUGCAGGGCCUCCGAGAUAGGCUGCCAGAGAGCUAGCAAUACGUAAUAUGUUUCUUUGCAGCCUUUUGUCUGCAACUAAGAACCUUGACUGGUACAACAGGUAACUGGAGAGCUUAUACAGUCUCCUGAGACUUUUAAAAAUAGGAAGAGUACUCAGCUGUCAUUUGGCAUGAUCAGAGUAUGGAUCAGUCAGAGUUGUUGGUGGCAAACAGCAGGAACCAGCCCUGUGUAUUUUAAGCAGAGAAUGAAUAUGGCAGAAGCUCAGAGAUUCAAUGGGUUGUUGGAGAACCAGCUUGAAAUGGGGCAGGAGCUGAGAGCUUGAGUCCAGAACUGGGCAACUGGGCCAGGAAGUUGCUCUGACUGCUCCAGGAUGCCACUUGACCUGCUAUUAGUUCUGCUAAGCUUUUGAAUGCCAGAGACGAACCUGGUGUCCUAGGGCCUGCAUUCCACUUACAUGGGCGAGGGUACAACGGGAUGGGGUCCAUCUCUGAACUUGCCAGGAGUAGACAGACAGGAUCCCACCUGCCCCACCUUGGGCUUUGGAUGUGAGAGGCUGGGCAUGGUACCCUACCCGUGCUAUGCAGAGAGCAGCAUUGCUUCCAAGAGAAGGGGAAUAGACACAGCAGUAAUAGAUGUCCAUAGCAGGGCUGCUGGGCAAAGUAGCUGUUGCAGCCUGUUGACCCUGGCAUGGCCACAUCUGAAUGUGUCCUUGGGCCUGCAACAUCUUACAUGGAGGUAAGGAGCCCACACAACCUGUGCUGGGCCCGAUUGUCUUGGUUGGGAGCCUCUUCCCUCACGCUGGGUUUGAUGUACGCUUCUUUGUUUUGUUUAGGUGUGGGUGUCAUAUGGCAUCUGGCCCUCUGUUGCUACAGCUGUUUGGAAGGAGGUCCUUUGUUUGUUGUACAAGAGGGGUGCGUGCAGCUGCUUGGCUGGCUCUGCUUGCCAUCAGAGGGCAACAUCACGGCUGGAGCUGGACUUGCGCCCUCCUCUGGGUGAGGAGUAUAUAUGGGAGGGAGGAUUUGGACAACUGACGCGUGGAUGCUUCUUGGCAUUCUCCUUCAACUCGCCAGUCUACGCCGGAGCGCCAGCCCCAGUUUUUCCAUGCACGGACCUCAGGUUUGUAUUUCCAAAUGCUCUCUUCCUAUAGUCUCCUUUGGAUGCUCCUCAUGGUAUCCAACAUGAAGUCCAUCAUCUUCUGCUACAAUCUCUUCCU